GCCUAUGGCCAUACUUCCCUGAUCUUGCCUGAACAUGUCUGAUAUUGGAGGCUAACCAGCCUCUGGCCUGGUUAAUACUUGGAUGGGAGGCUGGGAAUAGUGGGUGCUGUAGGCU
rnacentral:rRNA from 1 species